rnacentral:rRNA from 1 species
UUCUUAAUGGAGAGUUUGAUCCUGGCUCAGGACGAACGCUCGCGGUGUGCCUAAUACAUGCAAGUCGUACGGGAAUUAUGGAUUAUACGUAAUGUCUGCGGUUUCCGUGGAUAUAUCGUUUAAUCUGUAAUUCUAGUGGCGGACGGGUGAGUAACGCGUGGGUAACCUACCUCCAGGCCCUGGAUAACCUUGAGA